rnacentral:rRNA from 1 species
AACCUGGCCAAGGCUUGAUGCCGUCUGCUUCUAAUCAUGUUCUCACUAUGAGACGCUACUUUACUGUGUGGCCUCAAAUCAGGUAGGAUUACCCGCUGAACUUAAGCAUAUCAAUAAGCGGAGGAAAAGAAACUAACAAGGAUUCCCCUAGUAACGGCGAGUGAAGCGGGAUGAGCUCAAAUUUGUAAUCUGGUGGACUCAGUUCAUCCGAAUUGUAAUCUAUAGAAAAGUUUUCCGCGCUGGACCGUGUCUAAGUCCCUUGGAACAGGGUGUCAGAGAGGGUGAGAAUCCCGUGCUUGAUACGACCACCAGUGCUAUGUGAUACUUUUUCAACGAGUCGAGUUGUUUGGGAAUGCAGCUCAAAAUGGGUGGUAAAUUCCAUCUAAAGCUAAAUAUUGGCGAGAGACCGAUAGCGAACAAGUACCGUGAGGGAAAGAUGAAAAGCACUUUGGAAAGAGAGUUAAACAGUACGUGAAAUUGUUAAAAGGGAAACGAUUGAAGUCAGUCGUGCUCUCUAGGACUCAGCCAGUUCUUCUGGUGUAUUUCCUAGUGAGCGGGUCAACAUCAGUUUAGAUCGCUGGAUAAGGUCAUUAGGAAUGUGGCUCCCUCGGGAGUGUUAUAGCCUAGUGUCGCAUACAGUGGUUUAGACUGAGGAACGCAGCUCGCCUUUAUGGCCGGGGUUCGCCCACGU